rnacentral:rRNA from 1 species
UACGUAGGGGGGCAAGCGUUGUCCGGAUUUAUUGGGCGUAAAGAGCUCGUAGGCGGCUAUUCACGUCGGAUGUGAAAGCUCAAGGCUCAACCUUGAGAGGCCAUUCGAUACGGGAUAGCUAGAGGUAGGUAGGGGAGAUCGGAAUUCCUGGUGUAGCGGUGAAAUGCGCAGAUAUCAGGAGGAACACCGGUGGCGAAGGCGGAUCUCUGGGCCUUACCUGACGCUGAGGCGCGAAAGCUAGGGGAGCGAACAGG